CUGCAGCAACUGGUUCCUAAGGAGCGGCGGCCCUUUCAAAAGUUCGUGAACCGAUCGAGUUCGACGAUCGCAGCGCCAUCUGAGAAGCUUACCCUCGCUCCUACAGCACCCUUAUAUACCAUGGUCACUUUGUUGACACGCCACUGAUGACUGCAGUCAGAGUGCAUGAGGCCCAUGUAAGAGUAUGCGAGGAGUUUGUGUCGAGGAGAGGGGCGAAAUGGACUGGUAAGAGAAAGGUGAAUACAUUCAGGUAUACAGAGAGGAAAAGAGAGAGAAGAUGUACAGCGAAGGCGGACGAGUUUCGAAUUGACCUAGCAACUUGCUCUUCUCGUUCAACUAUACACGAAAUCUUAUGAGUCUAACGUGGAAACUGUUCCAAGUCUCCUUUCUAAGAGAUCAGAAUCCAAACGAUGUUUACAAAGAUAUUGACCUUCCAAAAAGAGAACUGGUAUUUCAUAUCGAUAUAAUUCAAGAUACGCUUCGUUUCCCAAAG